rnacentral:rRNA from 1 species
UCCGUAGGUGGAUCAAUCAGUCAGAGGUGAAAUCCUGCAGCUUAACUGUAGAACUGCCUUUGAUACUGUUGAUCUUGAGUCAUUAUGAAGUGGUUAGAAUGUGUAGUGUAGCGGUGAAAUGCAUAGAUAUUACACAGAAUACCGAUUGCGAAGGCAGAUCACUAAUAAUGUACUGACACUGAGGGACGAAAGCGUGGGGAACGAACAGGAUUAGAUACCCUGGUAGUCC